rnacentral:lncRNA from 1 species
UCCCAUCUUGGACAAACUAUUUCUUCAAGAAUAUAGCAUGUUAGGUCACAAUCACAUUGUGAUCCUCUGAAAAGAAAUAUAGUAUUCCUAAAACUCUUUAAGAUAUCUUGAAAUGAGUCUCAUAAAUCUAACCUCUAACUGGUCCAUAUGUCAACACUUGACAUGGGCCGAACAUCCUAAACAUGCUAUAUCUCAUACGGCAUGAUUUAGAGGAAACUCCUAUUCAUUAAGUAAAGCUUAUUCCUAAAGAAAAUAAAGGAAGAUCAAUGAAGCUCAUCAUAGAUCGGACUAUAUCAAAUAGAGUCUUUUUCUCGCUCUCGACACCCCAUCAAGUUAAGGUGCAUUAGAAAAAAUCCAUUAUGAGACUAUGCCCCUUUUUUGAGAUAGGUUAGAAACUUCCACUAAGACAUACACCUCUUUGAUCUCAUCGAAGAAUCUUAAAAAUUUUUUAAUUUAUUUUUUUACUUCAUAUCUAAAUUUUAUAAACUUUUUAAGAUUUUAAAUUGUGUCUCAUAUAUAUACCCAUAGUCACCAAUAUGAGUAAUGAAGUAAAGAGAAUCAACCCUA